CCUCCUGGGAGUACAUUUCCAGCCUCAUGACAGGGAGGAGCUGCAGGCACAUAGCUGCAGUAUCCUCACCUCCCCUGCGUGGUUGGAUAUGGCAUAUUUUGCUUUAAUAGUCUGAAUUAUCAAUCCAUUCUGGAUUUCUCCUUCAUACAAAUGUAAAGUAUGUAGCAGGGUAGGACUCGACCCCAAGGUCACAGAUCACAGAAGGAAAAUGAAAGUUGAAGGAGCGAGAAAGAAAAAUAACCAAAAUCUUCAAUUCACAUCUUGGAAUGUCCAGAACAAGAUGCGGGUGACUUUGCUCCCUUUCAACACUUCCUAUUCCAAGAUCAUCUGCAAAUUUAUAGUCUUCCAUUCCAAUCCAGCUGGAGAUCACUGUCUCUAAAUGCUUCUGACAGAAGAUCUAGAAGGCCUGGAAAAACCUUGAAGGUGGACUUCGACAUCUAAUUUAAACUUACCAAGAUUAAUCCUUUUACUGUCCUGAAAAA